rnacentral:lncRNA from 1 species
GGAGCGCGAUGCGUCAUUUACGCACAGAUGGUUCUGAUUUUAAUGCCAUUUUUGGAGUUUAUGUUGUGAUCUGUGCGCUCAACCCACCUUUGUCACGUGAGGUUUGAAUAUGAGCAACUUUAUGUGAGUGUCUUUAUUUGUGGAAAAGGGUGUUUGUCUUACCAGUGGGUCCAACAUUACGCACACUAAAUCCAUCUGUGCUCAGAUGAGAGAGUGUGGAGGACACUUGUUGAGGAGCUGCCCUCUGUCGCCAUCUUGUGGCAUUACUGUCUUCAGACAUCUCUUGAUCUCUUUGACUACUUCAUGAAAAUAGUAAUACGCCUCGCCUGUGGCGGAUUUAAAGGCAAGGAGAGGAGCCUAUGUGAUUGGUGAAAACAGGUCUCGGCUGUGUUAAACCCACUACACGCCCUCUCUCCUCCCCGUCUACGACUUAUGCUGCUGGGAGGAGCUGAGUUAGGGAGGGGGGAUACUUACGCUGGGCUGCGCGGCUCACCAAAAUACCAAAAUGUGCUUGGGAACGCCUUGUCAGCGCGGCGGAUCUGACUGACGCUGCGCUUGCGGCACGUCUCCGGCGAGGCACCAAAAUAGAGCCCCUUGUGUUAUUUUUCAGUAUUUGUUCUUUUUGUAUUUGGUGUGGAGGGGCUUUAGUAGUAACUUUAGUAGCCUACACGUUGUGUAGACAGUUACAGUCCGUGUACCAUAAUGAACAGUACGUGGUGAGUCAUGAGUGUUUCUCUGUGUACCGUGACGGACAAUAUGCUGUGUUUGGUGAGUGUUACUGUGUGUGUGAUGUGCAUAUGUCAUAUUGAGGUGCUGGCCGUAUCGUAUUAAUAACACAGAAAUCCUCUUAACUCUUAUGAAGUCAAACUUAGUUAUUAAACAUCCUUUUGAUGAUUGUGACAGGUAUAUAAAUUGUAAACAAAUUAAUAAGGGCUUAUAUGUUUGUUAUUACCAAUAAUAAAUGUGUUUAUUGUGCUUUUAUGAACAUUUACUAACAUUUAAAUAAUUAUAAGCACCUUGUAAGGUCUAGUAGAUGGGUUCCGAACUUUAAUCUGUGCUUUGUAAAGUAUUUGAACAUAAAGGGCUCUCUUUUCGUGCCCGCCGGCAACGCAGUGGAGGGUGGCGGACCCCGUGCAGUGGUAUUUUUGUCUGGGGGAGCCCAGCGUAUAGAGCCAGCUUGGUAUUUUCGUGGACUGGGAUGCACCAGGGUCCGCCAAGUUGGGUGUGGUGGCGCGGCAGGGGAAGGUGUCGACAGAAUCAGCUGGCGCAGAGACAUUUCCGUGCUCGCCUGUGGCAUAGAACAUGCGCUGAAAGCUCGCCGAUUCAAACCUGGUCAGCUUCAGUGCAGGCGGAGUGCAGCUGGUCUAGUGGUAUUUUGGUAGACCGGCGGCGUCACCGAUGCCUCACAGGCAGGUUUCCACAGUUUCAGGCACAUUUCAGUGCAAUAAAUAAUCAUCAACAACUAAUAUUCUGAGUCAGCACAUACAUUUAGAUCUAUAGAUAUAUUCUGAGAGAGGAGCGGUUCUGAUUGGCGAAAACAGGUCUCGGCCGUGUUAAACCCACUCCACAGCCUCUCUACGAUAUACACCGCUGGGAGGAGCUGAGGUAUGGAGGGGGGAUACUUACACUGAGAAGUGCUGCUCACCAAAAUUCCAAAAUGUGCUUGAGCACGCCUUGUCGGCGCGGUGGACCUGACUUAUGUCGCGCCUAUGCCAUGUCGCGGGCGAGGAAUGAAAAAAGAGCCCCAUGUGUGAACGAUCCAAUGAGAAGCCUGACUGGCUAAGAUGUCACAACCUGUUUACAGUGUAGAAAUACAACAAAAAUAGAACCGAUUUGACCGCUCCAUCCUUAUUUAUUAUUUUUUUGACUUUGACUUUUAUUUUGAGAUACCAAAAACUUUUAAGAAACUAAAAUGGUGUCUGUUUAAUUAUUACUUUCCAUUUCAAUUAAAAUAGCUUUGUGUACAAAGUCAGAAAGUUGAUUCCUACAAAUGAGUCUUGAAAAGAGGAGUCAUCUUAUAAUCUGAGUCCUUGAGUAUGGACAGAAAUAACUGUGAUGACUGUAAAGAGUGCAAUACUAUAUUUCUUUACAGUCAUGUAGAACAAUAACGAUUCUGACAGACAAAAACUCAAAUUAUUCUAGACUCAAACAUCAUCUUUACAGUCCACAGACCUUCAUCACAUUAAGUCCUGACUUUACUGCCUGUAUCAGUCGGCCUCUUCAUCUCCCUGUGUCCUUUCUUAUGAGAGCCUGAGUGUUUGCUGUUGUUCCCUGACCUGCUGUGGAUCCUUUUGACCCAGACUUGCUCCCACUUAGGGGGUCAAAGGUUACACCAGCUUCUAUCAGCAAGUCCCCAUCUCCCCCCCACCCACCCACAAGUAAUGCAUGUAAUGCAGCCUGGUCAUAAAGUCUUUUAUGUGUCAAACAAGAUCGUUAGUAUGAUGGCAGGAGGACGUUGUAAAACAUGUCUUUAAGGCUGUUUAAAUCUGACCACUUGAAAAGGUUUAUUUUCUUCUUCAGUUUUAAAUACUUUUAAUGGACCUAAAGAAUUUCAAAAAAAAAAAAAAGGCGAGACUGUUUACACAAGCCCAUUAACGAUUAAUUAAUGUAAAUGACACUUUACAUCAAUGUGGUGGUGAUCAAAAUCAUUUAGUGUUAGAAUUUGUUGUAGUAGAGCCGCAGGCAAAAAAAAAACAAAAAAAAAGGCAAAAACAUGUCUGUGUGUGUGUGUGUGUGUGUGUGUGUGUGUGUGUGUGUGUGUGUGUGUGUGUGCGUGCGUGUGUGUGUGUGUGCGCGCGCGUGCGUGUGUGUGUGUUUGGGGGUGUGGGGGGGGUGCAUGUUUUCCUGCAUGAAAAGCACUGUUUCAAUUAAAGGUGUUUGAUCCAGCAGCUAGGCGGGACAGGUCUGCAUGCAG